rnacentral:rRNA from 1 species
UACGGAGGGUGCUAGCGUUGUUCGGAAUUACUGGGCGUAAAGGGCGCGUAGGCGGCCGUUUGCGUCGGAUGUGAAAGCCCGGGGCUCAACCUCGGAACGGCAUUCGAUACGGGACGGCUGGAGACCGGGAGAGGAGAGUGGAAUAGCCAGUGUAGAGGUGAAAUUCGUAGAGAUCAGGUGGAACACCGGAGGCGAAGGCGCCUGCCUGGCAGUGUAUUGACGCUGAGGUGCGAAAGUGCGGGGAGCAAACAGG